CAGAACGAAAGUUAGGGGAUCGAAGACGAUUAGAUACCGUCGUAGUCUUAACCAUAAACCAUGCCGACCAGCGAUUGGGAGACGUUUCACACGGAAGUGGUGCCGGGGAGGCGCCCUGCUUUGCCCCGUAAAAAAGGGCCGAGCAAGCACCUCUCUUUGGGCUGCUUCCACUAAAGGAUGACUCCCUAGCAGCUUGUGAG
rnacentral:rRNA from 1 species